rnacentral:rRNA from 1 species
UACAGAGGGUGCAAGCGUUAAUCGGAAUUACUGGGCGUAAAGGGCGCGUAGGCGGGUCAACAAGUUUGAUGUGAAAGCUUCGGGCUUAACCCGGAAAUGGCAUUGAAUACUGGAGUGCUGGAGGUUUGGAGGGGGGACUGGAAUUCUCGGUGUAGCAGUGAAAUGCGUAGAUAUCGAGAGGAACACCAGUGGCGAAGGCGAGUCCCUGGACAACACCUGACACUGAGGCACGAAAGCUAGGGGAGCAAACAGG